GACGUAGGGGGCGAGCGUUGUCCGGAUUUAUUGGGCGUAAAGAGCGCGUAGGCGGCCCGUUAAGUCGGAUGUGAAAACCCGUGGCUCAACCACGGGCCUGCAUCCGAUACUGGCGGGCUCGAGGCAGGCAGGGGAGAUCGGAAUUCCUGGUGUAGCGGUGAAAUGCGCAGAUAUCAGGAGGAACACCGGUGGCGAAGGCGGAUCUCUGGGCCUGUCCUGACGCUCAGGCGCGAAAGCUAGGGGAGCAGACAGG
rnacentral:rRNA from 1 species